rnacentral:misc_RNA from 1 species
UUGGGCAUGGCCGCAUGGUGG